rnacentral:rRNA from 1 species
UAGGGAAUCUUCCACAAUGGGCGAAAGCCUGAUGGAGCAACGCCGCGUGUGUGAUGAAGGCUUUCAGGUCGUAAAGCACUGUUGUAUGGGAAGAACAGCUAGAAUAGGAAAUGAUUUUAGUUUGACGGUACCAUACCAGAAAGGGACGGCUAAAUACGUGCCAG